rnacentral:tRNA from 1 species
CCUCUUGUGGUGUUGUGGGUAACGCGCCUGUCUGGCGAAUUGGGAGUCGUGAGACCGAGUCUCACCGUGAAGA